AGUGAACGCUGGCGGUGUGCCUAACACAUGCAAGUCGAACGGCAGCACAGUAAGAUUUUUCUCUUACGGUUGGCGAGUGACGGGCGGGUAAGGAAUACAUCAGAUUCUACUUUUUCUGGGGUGAUAACGGAGGGAAACUGAUACUAAUACCUCAUACGUUCUACGGCAUGAAUCAAUAGUUCUUCGCGGCUUUGCCGUUUCAUUUAGACGAUGUCGGAUUAGCUAGUUGGCUUGGUAAAGGCCCACCAAGGCGACGAUCCGUAGCUGGUCUGAGAGGAUGAUCAGCCACACUGGAACUGAGACACGGUCCAGACUCCUACGGGAGGCAGCAGUGGGGAAUAUUGGACAAUGGGCGAAAGCCUGACGCAGCAACACCGCGUGAGUGAAGAAGGUCUUCGGGUUGUAAAGCUCUUUUGUUGGGAAAGAACAGAAGCAGGUUAAAACCCCGAUGUUUUGACGGUACCUAAACAAAAAGCACCGGCUAACUACGUG
rnacentral:rRNA from 1 species